rnacentral:rRNA from 1 species
UGCCAGCCGCCGCGGUAAGACGAACCGUCCAAACGUUAUUCGGAAUUAUUGGGCUUAAAGGGUGCGUAGGCGGUGCGGAAAGUUGGGUGUGAAAUCCCUCGGCUCAACCGAGGAACUGCGCCCAAAACUGCCGUGCUGGAGGAAGACAGAGGUGAGCGGAACUAAGGGUGGAGCGGUGAAAUGCGUUGAUAUCCUUAGGAACACCGGUGGCGAAAGCGGCUCACUGGGUCUUUUCUGACGCUGAGGCACGAAAGCUAGGGGAGCGAACGGGAUUAGAUA